AAUGCUGUGAUGAGGUGAAACACCAUAUGGUGUAAUAAGGGCAGUGGAAUUAGAGGGUUAUUUUAUAGCUUUCUCCGUGAGCCUAUUUUAUUAAACGACUUCUCCUUCCACUGAGCAUU
rfam:Solanum tuberosum cultivar DM 1-3 516 R44 scf00236_69, whole genome shotgun sequence.